rnacentral:tRNA from 1 species
GGCCCUCUGGCGGAAUAGGUAGACGCAGUUGACUCAAAAUCAGCCGUGGGUGACCACGUCCCGGUUCGAGUCCGGGGAGGGCCA